UUUGAGUGAGUGGCGAACUGGUGAGUAACACGUGGGAAACCUGCCCAGAAGCGGGGGAUAACACCUGGAAACAGAUGCUAAUACCGCAUAACAACUUGGACCGCAUGGUCCGAGCUUGAAAGAUGGCUUCGGCUAUCACUUUUGGAUGGUCCCGCGGCGUAUUAGCUAGAUGGUGGGGUAACGGCUCACCAUGGCAAUGAUACGUAGCCGACCUGAGAGGGUAAUCGGCCACAUUGGGACUGAGACACGGCCCAAACUCCUACGGGAGGCAGCAGUAGGGAAUCUUCCACAAUGGACGAAAGUCUGAUGGAGCAACGCCGCGUGAGUGAAGAAGGGUUUCGGCUCGUAAAACUCUGUUGUUAAAGAAGAACAUAUCUGAGAGUAACUGUUCAGGUAUUGACGGUAUUUAACCAGAAAGCCACGGCUAACUACGUGCCAGCAGCCGCGGUAAUACGUAGGUGGCAAGCGUUGUCCGGAUUUAUUGGGCGUAAAGCGAGCGCAGGCGGUUUUUUAAGUCUGAUGUGAAAGCCUUCGGCUCAACCGAAGAAGUGCAUCGGAAACUGGGAAACUUGAGUGCAGAAGAGGACAGUGGAACUCCAUGUGUAGCGGUGAAAUGCGUAGAUAUAUGGAAGAACACCAGUGGCGAAGGCGGCUGUCUGGUCUGUAACUGACGCUGAGGCUCGAAAGUAUGGGUAGCAAACAGGAUUAGAUACCCUGGUAGUCCAUACCGUAAACGAUGAAUGCUAAGUGUUGGAGGGUUUCCGCCCUUCAGUGCUGCAGCUAACGCAUUAAGCAUUCCGCCUGGGGAGUACGGCCGCAAGGCUGAAACUCAAAGGAAUUGACGGGGGCCCGCACAAGCGGUGGAGCAUGUGGUUUAAUUCGAAGCUACGCGAAGAACCUUACCAGGUCUUGACAUACUAUGCAAAUCUAAGAGAUUAGACGUUCCCUUCGGGGACAUGGAUACAGGUGGUGCAUGGUUGUCGUCAGCUCGUGUCGUGAGAUGUUGGGUUAAGUCCCGCAACGAGCGCAACCCUUAUUAUCAGUUGCCAGCAUUAAGUUGGGCACUCUGGUGAGACUGCCGGUGACAAACCGGAGGAAGGUGGGGAUGACGUCAAAUCAUCAUGCCCCUUAUGACCUGGGCUACACACGUGCUACAAUGGAUGGUACAACGAGUUGCGAACUCGCGAGAGUAAGCUAAUCUCUUAAAGCCAUUCUCAGUUCGGAUUGUAGGCUGCAACUCGCCUACAUGAAGUCGGAAUCGCUAGUAAUCGCGGAUCAGCAUG
rnacentral:rRNA from 2 species